GGCUUGUCUAUUAUUAUGAACAUAUGCAUUGGCUUCCCAGCUAUUUGGAUUUAGGUUUCUUUAAGGAUCAUUUAGGUCAGCUGAUGCACCUUCCGGGGCAACUGAGUAUGAACCUCGUCCUCUUCCAGCCCUCCUGUGCCUACAUCUCUACUUCUCCCUCCCCUUGAAGCUAAAGCAGCUCUCCCAGGGUGAACUGUCGAGGAGAGCAUGGUCCACAGUGCUGCUCCCCUCUGGAUGGCUCCUCUGCACACACCUCAGUGGAGAACAGCCAGCCCUGUGUGUUCCACAUUUUGGAGAGAAUGAGGAUGUAAUGCCAGUUACUGGCUCUUUCCAGAGGCAGGACUCAACCCAAAUGGCACAGACAGUGGACUUACAGCACUGGGGUGUCCAAAGGCAGCUGCUGGAUCACACCUGGGGACUCCUGCUGAGCUCCUGUUGUGGAAGAGCUGGCAUAGACAGGAAGAAAAGCUGCUUUUAAGGCACGGUUGCAGUGGCGCAGAUGGAAUGUAAUCAACAACAGGCAUGUGAACACCUCGGGGUUGUGUGAGCACAGGGUGACUGAUCUUGCAGUGGAGGAGCUUCUUCCGAGUCCCAGGGCAGGUGUCCAUGUCGGAGGACACGAUUCCUGCUCACACACUCUCCAGCUGAAGGUGCCAGAAACAUCAAACCAGCAAUAUGCCAACAGACCCAGAGCACUUGGACUGUUUCACUUCACUCUCCUAAACUACCCCAUUGCAAUGAAUAAUACAAAGUGUUAAAAACACAGUAUUUUUUUUCCUAACUUCAGUGUUGGAGGUACUUUUACGAACAUGUGAAUAGUUAAGUAAUUUCUGAAGAAAAAUACGUGCUUAUCCAUAUUCAAGCACUAUAUUUUCAAGAGGCAUUUCUUUUUCCUUCAUGCUGGAUCAGAAAUAAAAAGAUUGCAGUUGUUGCAAAGUAGUCAAGGGGAAAGAGGACAACUGGGAGCAUUAAAAGCAGGCAAGUGUUUUUAUUUUUAUCUUGGUUUUGUUACUCUUCAAACUAAGACAUGACCUCACUGAGUUCUUUUCCUUCAACAAUGAUUUUCCAUUCACAGUGAGAGAAUCCAGGGUUUUGGUGAAACUCAAGCAAAAUACUAAAAUAAUUCUUUAAGCAAUAUAUAAAGAAUUCAUUGUCUUGUGAAGGCCAAACAAGUUUGAGUGCCAGCAAAAUAAUGCACUACCUCUCCCUGAUGGACAUUAUUGAUGCUGAGUAGCAUGGGGCUUGCACAGAUGGUAUUUAUUGCCAGCAAAAUACAAGAAAUGACUGGCUGGUGUCAAACUGAGCCAUGCAUUGGAAGCACUGCAUGAGAAACAGAGAAGAUAAGAAGUCAAGGGAACACGUUACAGAAGGGCCCUCUUGGCACAAGGCACUGCCAUCGACUCUUAUAACAAAUCCUCAGCCACACAGUAGCAGUUGCUGUCAGUGCAUAUCACUGUCCAUAGGGAACAACAGUCAUGACACCAGCUAAGUGUCUCUUCAUUUAUUUUCAGAACUUUGUAAACAGUCCAUCAGUGGUAAAGGAGACAGGCUAUUGAACAGGUUUGGUGUACAUUCUUUGAACAGGACCUGCUUAGGAGGUAGAAGCAGAGGUUUCCCUGAUUGCUUCCACAGCAAACUACUCAAAGGGUUUUCUUAAGACACCCCAAUAACCAAAGAAGACCAAAGGAGAAGGAGGGGACCCCCUUUGUCUCUGACAGCUCAAAGAAAUGGAGCAAAGAGCAUUUGCUCUGUAGAAUAACCCACAGAGGAGAAGGAAUUCUGCACAGAGGACGCUAAACUGCCAGGCAAUCAAGUCAACAUAUCUAACACCUAAAGAACCUUUUUUAAUUCUUUCUCCUUUUUUUUUUCCUAUGGGGGUGCUGAGUGAUCUCUGAAUAGAGUGAUUUUGAAACUGAGCUAAUAGCUAUGCUUUCCUAUUCCUUGUGUAGUCCUUAGUCACUGCAAGAUUUUAUACAGAAGCUGCAAUACUGAAUAUGAACAAGAAAGAGAGACACAUAAAUAUUCUGCUUGAAAGCAGCCAAUUAAACAUAUAACUUUUUAAAUGGGUAGAAGUGAAUAAACAGAAUCUUAAACAGAAAUUCAGCAUAAUUUUUUUAUUAUUUCGUACAACAAGAUGUAACCUUCAUAGUUCUCCAAGUGUUUGGAAAGCUGGAUGCAUAGUUCUAGAACAGACCUUGUCCUAGAGAAACUGCUGAGCACAGCUUUUACAUUGUUGUAUUAAUGCAAUUUAUUUACUGUGAAAUGUUCACAUUAUUGAAUCCUAUUUUUCUACCAGUUGGUCAUACUGUGAAAAGCAAACCAUUCAGCUUAAAUAAAUAAAACAAUACCAUUGUGCUGGUAAGU